CAGUCGCCGCGGUAAUGCGGAGGGGGCUAGCGUUGUUCGGAAUUACUGGGCGUAAAGCGCACGUAGGCGGCUUGGUAAGUUAGGGGUGAAAGCCUGGAGCUCAACUCCAGAAUUGCCUUUAAGACUGCCGAGCUAGCAGGUGAGAGAGGUAAGUGGAAUCCCGAGUGUAGAGGUGAAAUUCGUAGAUAUUCGGAAGAACACCAGUGGCGAAGGCGGCUUACUGGCUCAUACUGGACGCUGAGGUGCGAAAGCGUGGGGAGCAAACAGGAUUAGAUACCCGGGUAGUCCCUGUCUCUUAUAC
rnacentral:rRNA from 1 species